UUAACAGAAAAAAGUGCGCUAUAACUCCACCUAGUGUUCAGAUGUGGGAUUAAGAUGAAGCGUUCAAGCUACAAACUUGUUACUAGGCCUAUUCGUAAAGAGUGAAUGCUGUUCUACAUGGGCCUGUUGCGGGUGACUGUUCCAGACAGCACUAAUGGAGAGGUGGUGACUUUUAUAGGAAGUUGCUUUUGAGAGGGUGUCAGACAUCAUUUUGAUCGCAGAUUGCAUUAGAGCUUGUCAGGGUCUAUCAGAUAUGACAUCCGGUCACCUCAAGCAGGACAAGCGCUGUUGUUGCCCAUGAAUAAAGUUGUGUAGGAACAUUUACUACACAUGGAAAAUGUGGGCUGUGGUUUUCUUCUCUUCUUGGCUAGAGACUGCCUUAGUUAAAAAAAUAAAUAAAUGAAAAAAAGGCAAAAUGUUAACUGUUCCACAUAUAUGUUCCCAUGCAAGGGGGCAGCACUUUGGGUUGGUCCCCCAACCUAUGUGAAGACCUAACAUACUAAUUGUUUUCUUCAUAUUCAAUCUGUACAGAAGCUGUUUAGAUAUAAAACAGCAGAGAAAAAUAUGUCAGUCUGGUUAGAUCACAAACAUUUAUUGUAGCUUUGCUUGUGUGUCCCAGUUAAUUCUAAUCACCAUCAGUUUGAACAAGGCUGCUGCUAUUUGUUGAGACUUUUAAGAGUGCUAUUAUGGGUGGUAUUGCCAGUGGUAUUGGUGCACUUGUAUAGAAUUCUGCUACACUCAUUUUUAUGACAGCAAUCAAGUUUCUGCUUCAUUUCAUUUAUAGGGAGGAGAACAUGUCACUUUUUUUUCUGAGUUCCUAACAUUGUUCAGGAAGCACAAUUCCAUUCCAUUAAGUUAAACAGUAAAUGAUACAUCAUGUGACCCCACAUAGUUAAUGAUAAAUGGAUGAUGUCUUAUUUUGGGAAUAAUUGGUAUAUAUUUUGAGAAUAAAAUGGUAGACAAAGGAAAAUGAUAAUGCAUAAUGUUAAUGAUAAUAGAAGUGCUGUACUAGUGACAUACACUACACUGGAAAAUUCCCAAUAAUCUGUGCACUUGAUCAGUCUGUUUACAAACCCUCUUAAUACUGAUUGUUUGCUAGAUGUGAAGAUUUUUCAGGAGUACAACCAACAUGUGUAGCACUGCUUCUGAUACAACAGUGUAUUUCUAAUGAGGCUCAGGAUCCAUCGCAGUUAAUGUUAAAUGUACAAAAUGUGUGGAUCUUCUAGUCCGUUCUGAUGUUGUAAUAGAUUUCAAGAUGAAAUUUUCGGGAGCAAAAGUUGUGAGUGUAGAUUGGUAGGAAAAUAUUUUAGGUUCAAGGUCAAGCUUCCUUUAAAAAUACAUUUUUUUGUCUUUUAUUAAAAAAAAUUGAUUUUGAAUAUGCAAGUGAUCACAUCAGUGAUUAUUAGAAGUUAGAACUACUUUUCUUACUGUUUAGAUUAAAAAUAAUUUAAAAGACUGAUAAGACUGUUAGAAAAACAAAUGAAAGCAAGAAGAUUGAUGGGUUGAUCUAAUUGGUAGAUGCACAAAAGAUGUCACAUCAACCUAUUUGUGUCAACGUGUGUUAACAUGGUGGUAAUACAGUUUUCAUGUACAGUCAGGCACAACUACUAAAAUUAGCAAUGCAAGAUGUCUUUGUAUACUGACAGAUUCAAUCUCACCUCUCUUUUUACUUUAGUUGAAAGAGAACUUGAACAUUCGUACUUUGUGCCAGUUUCCUAGCAAAAUAGAGAAGCAUUAAGACACCACAGACAUGCUUACCAUAGUUGCAUUUAUUUGAAAACAGCAAUCUGUAUUUUUUUCACCUGUGCUUUGAUUCGUCAAAACUGAUAUUGUACAUAUUGUUUUUCCACUGAAAAUCACAACGUUACCCUUUUUAUUUAUGUUUUUGUUUUAUUCUUUUUAUUUGUUUCAAUACAAUGAUUUGUGCUUUUGAUACCAUAGUUUGAAAGACAUGUUAAUACA